rnacentral:tRNA from 1 species
AGAAAUUUAGGUUAAAAGACCAAGGGCCUUCAAAGCCCUAAGCAGGGGCCAACCUCCCCCUAAUUUCUG